CUUGCGCGCUAAAGGGUGGAAUAAUCGCGCAAUCGCACUUCACGAAGCAUGUGUGGAAGUGGCAGAAUUAUUAACCUGAUUAAUAAUCUGAUUAAUAAUUUAAAAUUGGGUCGGUAGUAUCCCAUUAUUGUUCAGCUAUUUACUGUACAUUUAUUAUAUAAUAUUGUUAUGUUACUUUAUAUUGUAGAAUAGUAAACACAUUGUACUAUAAUUUUUUGUAUAAUUAAGUAGUUGAACGAUAAAGAUGAUUUUAAUAGCCAAAUGCCUCGUCAUCUAAUUAGUGACUUGCGUGAAUGGAUUAACGAGAUUCUUUCUGUCCCUAUUUACUAUCUAGCAAAACCACACCCAAGGGAACGGGUUUGAGAAAAUUAGCACGGAAAGAAGACCCUGUUGAGUUUGACUCUAAUCUGGCAGUGUAAGGAGACAUAAGAGGUGUAGAAUAAGUGGGAGAUAUUGUUCUUUCGAGUUCAUUAUCGCCAAUGAAACACUACUCUUAUUGUUUCUCUAUUUACUUGAUUAAGUGGAACGUGUAUCACUAGCCAUUAUACGGAUGUAUUUAUAUAUCUUAUGGUAAUGGGUUCUGAUGCACUAAAGAGUUUGUUAUAUAAUUUUAAAUAAAUUUUAAUAAGAUUGUUUGGCAUUUCGGUGCUUAUUCAAUAAAAAUUUAGAAUUUGCCAGGUAGGAAGUUUGACUGGGGCGAUACAUCUCUCAAAUAAUAACGGAGGUGUCCCAAGUCCAGCCCAGUUCGUACAGAAACCACCAAUAGAGCAAAAGGGAAAAAGCUGACUUGAUCUCGGUAUUCAGUACACACAGGGACAGCAAAAGCGCGGCUCAUCGAUCCUUUUGGUUUAAGGAGUUUUUAAUGAGAGGUGUCAGAAAAGUUACCAUAGGGAUGCCCGGCUUGUGGCGGCCAAGCGUUCAUAGCGUCGUCGCUUUUUGAUCCUUUGAUGUCGGCUCUUCCGUCGUGAGACAGAUUAGUUUUACCCUGCUAAUGACAAUAUGUUGUUGCGACAGCAUUCCUGCGUAGUACGAGAGGAACCAAUGGCACAAUACUUAUUCGAGCGAACAGUGAUAUGACGCUACGUCCGUUGGAUUAUGCCUGAACGCCUCUAAGGUCGUAUCCAAGCAGGACUGUAAUGAUCAAAAUGGGGCAAUUGCAUUGUAUGGCUUUUAAACCA
rnacentral:ncRNA from 1 species